rnacentral:rRNA from 1 species
UGGGGAAUUUUGGACAAUGGGCGCAAGCCUGAUCCAGCCAUGCCGCGUGCGGGAAGAAGGCCUUCGGGUUGUAAACCGCUUUUGUCAGGGAAGAAAUCUUCUGAGUUAAUACCUCGGGAGGAUGACGGUACCUGAAGAAUAAGCACCGGCUAACUACGUGCCAGCAGCCGCGGUAAUACGUAGGGUGCAAGCGUUAAUCGGAAUUACUGGGCGUAAAGCGUGCGCAGGCGGUUUUGUAAGACAGAGGUGAAAUCCCCGGGCUCAACCUGGGAACUGCCUUUGUGACUGCAAGGCUUGAGUGCGGCAGAGGGGGAUGGAAUUCCGCGUGUAGCAGUGAAAUGCGUAGAUAUGCGGAGGAACACCGAUGGCGAAGGCAAUCCCCUGGGCCUGCACUGACGCUCAUGCACGAAGGCGUGGGGAGCAAACAGGAUUAGAUACCCUGGUAGUCCACGCCCUAAACGAUGUCAACUGGUUGUUGGGAAGGUUCCUUCUCAGUAACGUAGCUAACGCGUGAAGUUGACCGCCUGGGGAGUACGGCCGCAAGGUUGAAACUUAAAUGAAUUGACGGGGU